rnacentral:rRNA from 1 species
AUUGAACGCUGGCGGAAUGCUUUACACAUGCAAGUCGAACGGCAGCACGGGGGCAGCCCUGGUGGCGAGUGGCGAACGGGUGAGUAAUACAUCGGAACGUGCCCGGUCGUGGGGGAUAACGUAGCGAAAGUUACGCUAAUACCGCAUACGAUCUGAGGAUGAAAGCGGGGGACCUUCGGGCCUCGCGCGUUCGGAGCGGCCGAUGUCAGAUUAGGUAGUUGGUGGGGUAAAGGCCUACCAAGCCGACGAUCUGUAGCUGGUCUGAGAGGACGACCAGCCACACUGGGACUGAGACACGGCCCAGACUCCUACGGGAGGCAGCAGUGGGGAAUUUUGGACAAUGGGCGCAAGCCUGAUCCAGCCAUUCCGCGUGCAGGACGAAGGCCUUCGGGUUGUAAACUGCUUUUGUACGGAACGAAAAGGCUCUGGCUAAUACCUGGGGCUCAUGACGGUACCGUAAGAAUAAGCACCGGCUAACUACGUG